rnacentral:rRNA from 1 species
UACGAAGGGGGCUAGCGUUGUUCGGAAUUACUGGGCGUAAAGCGCACGUAGGCGGACUACUAAGUCAGGGGUGAAAUCCCGGGGCUCAACCCCGGAACUGCCUUUGAUACUGGUAGUCUCGAGUCCGGAAGAGGUGAGUGGAAUUCCGAGUGUAGAGGUGAAAUUCGUAGAUAUUCGGAAGAACACCAGUGGCGAAGGCGACUUACUGGACGACUGUUGACACUGAGGUGCGAAAGCGUGGGGAGCAAACAGG